rnacentral:rRNA from 1 species
CCUACGGGUGGCAGCAGUCGAGAAUCAUUCACAAUGGGGGAAACCCUGAUGGUGCGACGCCGCGUGGGGGAAUGAAGGUCUUCGGAUUGUAAACCCCUGUCAUGUGGGAGCAAAUUAAAAAGAUAGUACCACAAGAGGAAGAGACGGCUAACUCUGUGCCAGCAGCCGCUGUAGUACAGAGGUCUCAAUCGUUGUUCUGAAUCACUGGGCGGAAAGCGUGCGUAGGCUGUUUCGUAAGUCGUGUGUGAAAGGCGCGGGCUCAACCCGCGGACGGCACAUGAUUUUGCGAGACUAGAGUAAUGGAGGGGGAACCGGAAUUCUCGGUGUAGCAGUGAAAUGCGUAGAUAUCGAGAGGAACACUCGUGGCGAAGGCGGGUUCCUGGACAUUAACUGACGCUGAGGCACGAAGGCCAGGGGAGCGAAAGGGAUUAGAUACCCUUGUAGUC